CAUAGGUUAAUGAGGCGAACCGGGGGAACUGAAACAUCUAAGUACCCCGAGGAAAAGAAAUCAACCGAGAUUCCCCCAGUAGCGGCGAGCGAACGGGGAGCAGCCCAGAGCCUGAAUCAGUGUGUGUGUUAGUGGAAGCGUCUGGAAAGGCGCGCGAUACAGGGUGACAGCCCCGUACACAAAAAUGCACAUACUGUGAGCUCGAUGAGUAGGGCGGGACACGUGGUAUCCUGUCUGAAUAUGGGGGGACCAUCCUCCAAGGCUAAAUACUCCUGACUGACCGAUAGUGAACCAGUACCGUGAGGGAAAGGCGAAAAGAACCCCGGCGAGGGGAGUGAAAAAGAACCUGAAACCGUGUACGUACAAGCAGUGGGAGCACGCUUAGGCGUGUGACUGCGUACCUUUUGUAUAAUGGGUCAGCGACUUAUAUUCUGUAGCAAGGUUAACCGAAUAGGGGAGCCGAAGGGAAACCGAGUCUUAACUGGGCGUUAAGUUGCAGGGUAUAGACCCGAAACCCGGUGAUCUAGCCAUGGGCAGGUUGAAGGUUGGGUAACACUAACUGGAGGACCGAACCGACUAAUGUUGAAAAAUUAGCGGAUGACUUGUGGCUGGGGGUGAAAGGCCAAUCAAACCGGGAGAUAGCUGGUUCUCCCCGAAAGCUAUUUAGGUAGCGCCUCGUGAAUUCAUCUCCGGGGGUAGAGCACUGUUUCGGCAAGGGGGUCAUCCCGACUUACCAACCCGAUGCAAACUGCGAAUACCGGAGAAUGUUAUCACGGGAGACACACGGCGGGUGCUAACGUCCGUCGUGAAGAGGGAAACAACCCAGACCGCCAGCUAAGGUCCCAAAGUCAUGGUUAAGUGGGAAACGAUGUGGGAAGGCCCAGACAGCCAGGAUGUUGGCUUAGAAGCAGCCAUCAUUUAAAGAAAGCGUAAUAGCUCACUGGUCGAGUCGGCCUGCGCGGAAGAUGUAACGGGGCUAAACCAUGCACCGAAGCUGCGGCAGCGACGCUGAUGCGUUGUUGGGUAGGGGAGCGUUCUGUAAGCCUGUGAAGGUGUGCUGUGAGGCAUGCUGGAGGUAUCAGAAGUGCGAAUGCUGACAUAAGUAACGAUAAAGCGGGUGAAAAGCCCGCUCGCCGGAAGACCAAGGGUUCCUGUCCAACGUUAAUCGGGGCAGGGUGAGUCGACCCCUAAGGCGAGGCCGAAAGGCGUAGUCGAUGGGAAACAGGUUAAUAUUCCUGUACUUGGUGUUACUGCGAAGGGGGGACGGAGAAGGCUAUGUUGGCCGGGCGACGGUUGUCCCGGUUUAAGCGUGUAGGCUGGUUUUCCAGGCAAAUCCGGAAAACUAAGGCUGAGGCGUGAUGAGGAGGCACUACGGUGCUGAAGCAACAAAUGCCCUGCUUCCAGGAAAAGCCUCUAAGCAUCAGGUAACAUCAAAUCGUACCCCAAACCGACACAGGUGGUCAGGUAGAGAAUACCAAGGCGCUUGAGAGAACUCGGGUGAAGGAACUAGGCAAAAUGGUGCCGUAACUUCGGGAGAAGGCACGCUGAUAUGUAGGUGAAGCGACUUGCUCGUGGAGCUGAAAUCAGUCGAAGAUACCAGCUGGCUGCAACUGUUUAUUAAAAACACAGCACUGUGCAAACACGAAAGUGGACGUAUACGGUGUGACGCCUGCCCGGUGCCGGAAGGUUAAUUGAUGGGGUCAGCGCAAGCGAAGCUCUUGAUCGAAGCCCCGGUAAACGGCGGCCGUAACUAUAACGGUCCUAAGGUAGCGAAAUUCCUUGUCGGGUAAGUUCCGACCUGCACGAAUGGCGUAAUGAUGGCCAGGCUGUCUCCACCCGAGACUCAGUGAAAUUGAACUCGCUGUGAAGAUGCAGUGUACCCGCGGCAAGACGGAAAGACCCCGUGAACCUUUACUAUAGCUUGACACUGAACAUUGAGCCUUGAUGUGUAGGAUAGGUGGGAGGCUUUGAAGUGUGGACGCCAGUCUGCAUGGAGCCGACCUUGAAAUACCACCCUUUAAUGUUUGAUGUUCUAACGUUGACCCGUGAUCCGGGUUGCGGACAGUGUCUGGUGGGUAGUUUGACUGGGGCGGUCUCCUCCUAAAGAGUAACGGAGGAGCACGAAGGUUGGCUAAUCCUGGUCGGACAUCAGGAGGUUAGUGCAAUGGCAUAAGCCAGCUUGACUGCGAGCGUGACGGCGCGAGCAGGUGCGAAAGCAGGUCAUAGUGAUCCGGUGGUUCUGAAUGGAAGGGCCAUCGCUCAACGGAUAAAAGGUACUCCGGGGAUAACAGGCUGAUACCGCCCAAGAGUUCAUAUCGACGGCGGUGUUUGGCACCUCGAUGUCGGCUCAUCACAUCCUGGGGCUGAAGUAGGUCCCAAGGGUAUGGCUGUUCGCCAUUUAAAGUGGUACGCGAGCUGGGUUUAGAACGUCGUGAGACAGUUCGGUCCCUAUCUGCCGUGGGCGCUGGAGAACUGAGGGGGGCUGCUCCUAGUACGAGAGGACCGGAGUGGACGCAUCACUGGUGUUCGGGUUGUCAUGCCAAUGGCACUGCCCGGUAGCUAAAUGCGGAAGAGAUAAGUGCUGAAAGCAUCUAAGCACGAAACUUGCCCCGAGAUGAGUUCUCCCUGACUCCUUGAGAGUCCUGAAGGAACGUUGAAGACGACGACGUUGAUAGGCCGGGUGUGUAAGCGCAGCGAUGCGUUGAGCUAACCGGUACUAAUGAACCGUGAGG
rnacentral:rRNA from 1 species